AGGAAAUAGAUACCCGGGUAGUCCAGGGUGUAAACGCUGCGGGCUUGGUGUUGGGGGUCCUUAGUGGGCGCCCAGUGCCGGAGAGAAAGUUGUUAAAGCCUGCUGCUUGGGGAGUAUGUCCGCAAGGAUGAAACUUAAAGGAAUUGGCGGGGGAGCACCGCAACGGGAGGAGCGUGCGGUUCAAAUUGGAUUCAACGCCGAAAAACUCACCAGGAGCGACGGAUAUAUGAAGGUCAAGCUGAUGACUUUACCUGAUUUUCCGAGAGGUGGUGCAUGGCCGUCGUCAGUUCGUACCGUAAAGGCGUUCUCUUAAGUGAGAUAACGAACGAGACCCUCACCAUUAAUUGCUAGUCCUUUCUCCGGAGGGGCGCACAUUAAUGGGACCGCUGGCGCUAAGUCAGAGGAAGGAGAGGUCAACGGUAGGUCCGUAUGCCCCGAAUCCCCUGGGCAACACGCGCGCUACAAAGGGUGGGACAAUGGGCUUCGACACCGAAAGGUGAAGACAAUCCUCAAACCCAUCCAUAGUUCGGAUCGGGGGCUGUAACCCGCCCCGUGAAGCUGGAUUCCGUAGUAAUC
rnacentral:rRNA from 1 species